GAGAGAAGAAUUUCCUAGGAAUGCAAGAAGCUAUUCAGUCUACUGGUUUAUGAGGAUGUCCACUGUUUGAAGCUCGACCCAGCAAGAAGUUACCACCUCACUCCUCGUGUGGAUCAUGUCUGCGAUCUUCAGGCGAGGGAGUCCACCAGGAAUGCCCCCCCCCGCCCUGCUCCUGGGGAAAGCAGCCAGGCACCUAAUGAGACCUAAUGUGCACAAGAGCAUUGAACAAGCUUUCCCAUGACUCUCGCAGCUUCUUUUCCAGCAGGUGGUGAUGACAAAAACUGUUUGCUGCCUUGGACCAUCCUCACUGCCUUCAUCUCUCCUUUUCAACUGCUACCCACCCUGAGGUGAAAGGACCAGACUGCAUGCAAAGGCUUAUCCAGCAUGGACAGGUUUUUGUCAAAA